rnacentral:rRNA from 1 species
GUGUCAGCCGCCGCGGUAAUACGAAGGGUGCAAGCGUUACUCGGAAUCACUGGGCGUAAAGCGUGCGUAGGCGGUUGGUUAAGUCUGCUGUGAAAGCCCUGGGCUCAACCUGGGAACUGCAGUGGAUACUGGCCAGCUAGAGUGUGAUAGAGGAUGGUGGAAUUCCCGGUGUAGCGGUGAAAUGCGUAGAGAUCGGAAGGAACACCAGUGGCGAAGGCGGCUACCUGGCCUAAUACUGACACUGAUGCACGAAAGCGUGGGGAUCAAACAGGAUUAGAUACCCUGGUAGUCCACGCCGUAAACGAUGAUUACUAGUUGUUGGCCCGCUGGGGUCAGUGACCAAGGGAAACCGAUAAGUAAUCCACCUGGGGAGUACGCCGGCAACGGUGAA